CUAGUUCUCUAGAAACAGAAAAUCAACCAUUUUCUGAAAGUUUCAGGGUUAGUUUCCUGGUUGGUUAACACAUCAAGGUGUUAUGACAGUGAUGAGCCCAGACAGGCCAAACUCCAUCCUCCUUCCCCUAUACCAUGGACCAUGCAUCACUUCAAUUUAGCUGUUCCUGAGUUGUAUCCUUUAUAAUGAACUAGUUAUGAAGUCCAUUUUCUAAGGUCUGUACUAUUAUAAACAUCAUUCUAUAUUUGCAGAAGUGGAGCACAGAAAGAUGAAGUGAUCUUUCCAAACUUAUGAGUGUUGUCAACCAGAUUGGCCCUAUGAUGAAAUACAGAUGGAUCAAGUGAUGUGUGGGACCCCACACAUGGCUCAAGCCCAGGAACUCUUAGCACACACAAAAGAUGUCUGAUCAGACUGUCAACAACGCGUGAAGCACACUGAGGCAUAACAGAAAGAGCACUGGACUCGGAGUCAGAAGAUGGUUUCGAGAUCUCGGCUACUGUGAAUUAUGCUGUAAUGAACAUGGAAGUGCGGAUAUCUUUUCAAGACCAUCAUAAAUUGUUUAUUAGCUAAGAAUUUUACAAACAUGGCCUAUGUUAGUAAAAGUAGAAUCAGACAGUAUUGGAUCUUCUCCAACCUGAAGGACAAGACCCACCAAGAGUAUGAGAGAACUGUAGCCCAUCUUAACACCACAGUCCUUGCAGCCUGCGGAUGUCAGCUCUCACAUCUGCCUGUGCUUGUGGACUGCUUUGGUGAUCCAUUCUGGACCAAGAUUUCUUCUGAUAGUUUUAUGCAAUGAAUCAAUGAGGAUACCCUCAAAGAAUUUGUGCAUGGAAUCUUCACUAAUUGAAUAAGAACUCAAGACUCUAAGAGCCCCUGUAGUGGUGUCCUGUUCUCUCCUGGACAACAGACUGAAGGCUUUGAGCAAACUAGCUGGUUAACACCAUGAUGGACAGGCUUCCUGUAGGUUACAUCCUUAGGAACUGGAUGUCUGGAACCACCAAGGUACACACAAAUCGGAUAUGUGACACAGCCUGGAUCAGCUCAUUCAGUGCGUGUUAUGGCCUGGUGCGGCAGGGGUCUGCAGAGUGUGGAGAGCUGGAAGUACCCAGCAGUGCAGCCUGAGAAUAAAGUGCAU